ensembl:snoRNA
CUGUCAAUCAAGGCCUGCAGUUUGUUGUAGCUGCAGGUUUCAACACAAGCCCAAAGAAAAGUGUUUCUAGGGUCUGCUGGCCAUUUCAAAACUUUGGAAAUGCAAUAGUCAAUUCUUAGAAAGAAGUAAUU